rnacentral:rRNA from 1 species
GAUGAACGCUAGCGAAGGCUUAACACAUGCAAGUCGAGGGACCGGCGGAUGGGUGCGUAACGCGUAUGCAACUUGCCUCACAGAGGAGAAUAACCCGGAGAAAUCCGGACUAAUGCUCCAUACUUUGAGAUAGUCAUGCGUCCUAUUAGGUAUUUGGUGAGGUAACGGCUAACCAAACCGACGAUAGGUAGGGGUGCUGAGAGGCCGAUCCCCCAGAGUGGGACUGGGAGACGGCACAAACUCCGACGGCAGGGAGAAGUGAGGAAGAAUGGUAAAUGGAGGCAAAUCUGAACCAGCCAAGUAGCGUGAAGGAAGAAUGUCUAAGGAUUGUACACUUAUUUAGCGAGCGAGUAAGUAGCUAGAGAAUAAGGAUCGGCUAACUCCGUGCCAGCCGCCGCGGUAAUUC